CGCCGUGUGAGGCUAGACCAGCGUCGGGUCGAUGCACGGGCCCUGCCGCUGUCGGGUCGAUGCUCGGGCGCUGCCGCCGUGGGCGUGUUUAGCGUUUCUCUGUGACAGAAGUGACCCGUUGGUGACGGGGCAUUGAGGAGGAUGCCUGCAGUCCAAACCCUCUUCCUGACUUUCAAAAGCUGGAAAUGUUCUGCUCUUUGCUGGUGGAGAUUGGCCUGACAGAGGACAAUCUGUCACCACUGAGCAGAGGAACAGUCCUUGAAGCCUGGAGUGCAGUGGAAGAGCAUGACACGCAGCCACAGCGUUUUAACCAGUUGUACAGAACACACUGGAGCAAUGCCCUCUAUUGCCGCAGGAAAAGGGAUGGUCUUGUUGAUGCUGCUGUGAUGCACAGGGUGAAGAUGGCCAAGCGUUACACACCAGCACAGCAGCACAUCAGUGCCCAGAACAACAGGUUGAUGUACACACUGGUGAAACUGUUGUGGUUACGAUCACCUCAAGGGUCUCGCACCAGCCCUGAAAAGAGGGCCAUCCUGAAGGUGUACGAGCGAAUCCCGCAUCAGAUAUCGGUGGAAGAUCCAGUCCUGUGCAAGGCCUCUACCAAAAAUUAACAUCAAGUCUGUGCAGGACUUCAUCCAAGAGAGGUCCUCAACCUGCAUGCCACAAAACAGCCAGCCGCAAUCACAAAUGAGUUGUGAGUAAGCUGUACUGUAAUUUGUUUGUAAAUACGUGAAUGUAUGGUUCCAUGGUAAAUACUGUAUUCAUUUCAUUCAUGACCUCUCAUUCUAAGUCAUGUUCAGUGAUACCUUUCAAAUGGUCUAAACCAGGGGUAUCAGAUUCAACCAGUAAAUCUCAUCACAUCUGUGAGCCAGAGAAGAUCUUUUUUUAAUUAGUGUUGUGCUAUAACCCGAACUGGCCAUUGUUUAUUUAAAUAUGCAGAGUAACAGACGCUUGCAGUAAACCUUGAAAUAUUCAAAAUGUAAAUGUCCCUAGGAGCUCUGUCUUUUAAACCUACCUAUCUGCUUGGUCUAUACACCUAUCAUCCUUUCUUUGCUGCAAGGUCAUUAAAUUACAUUACUUUUGUGGGCCCCCACGACCCUGACGGAGAAGCGGCUUAGAAAAUGGAUGGAUGGAUGGAUGGAUGGAUGGAUGGAUGGAUACUUUUGUGGGCCAGGUAUGUUUGUGUGGUGGGCCUUGUGUUUGACAUAUAGGGUCUAAACUAUAGUGCUGUGUUGUGUUGUCAGUAGUUUAUUUAAUAAGACUAUCUGUGAAUGAGUGCAUCUCAUUGAACCGAUUGUAAAUGUUUUAGUGAUACUUUAUAGUUUUUCUACGCUUCCCCAGAUAAUGCACUUUAUUCAAUAACAUGGUUGGUAGUACAGUAACAGUUGUUCUGUAGAAGCACCUGUGUCUAGCUCAUCUUUUUUUUUUAUUAUUAUUAUUUUCUAUUAUUUUCCUUUUUUUUUGCCUGUAUCCCUGUUGCCAUUCGGAUGAUACUUCCUUAACUAUGUUAAUUCUUUUCAUUUGUAAUGAGGUGUGUUUUUAAAACAUUUUCAGUGUUUUGUUUUACAAAUAAAGAGAUCAGAAACAGUAA